GGCCCCAUGGAGUUUUUUGCCUAAGCCCCCCCAGAGUCCCUAGAAUCGCCUCUGUCUAUGACUAACAUCACAUUUGUACGUUGAAGGCCUUUGGGAUGGCUAGCACUUAAUUAGAAUAGAAUAGAAGGCCUUUAUUGUCAUUGUAAAAUUUAUCACGAAAUUAUCAACACUACUUUAGCUGGGUACUUUUCUUCUUCCUCAAAAAAGCAUAGUAUUAGGUUAUAUUUGGCUACGCCCCUUUUACAGGCUCCCUGAGCACAAACGCCACCUUACGACCCGUUAAUCUUGCGCUUCUUGCGCAUGAAUGUUCGCCGCUGGAUUACCCUGUCCGUUUCACCAGGUAAUCGCGGUUCUCUAGUAAAUAUAACGGGAGACUGGUGGGGGCGUGGUCACGAUUACGUAGUACUGGGGGUGGAGCCUGGGCGGCGGUCGCUGUUCUCAGUGCUGAUAGCUGUCAGCCGGAGAGCUGGCGCCGCUCGGAUCAGCUGCGCUUUUCCCGGCCCGUUACCCACUCUGCUGCACUGACCCGCUGUAGAAUGACUCCCAUUUUCUUCGCCCCUUUCUGUCUUCUCGUGUCGGUGUGGCCGGCUGCCUUGCACUAAACCGAUCAGAAGCCAUCAUUCCUGGUCACCACUCUAUAGUGACGCAGGCAGCCCACUUUGUAGCCUGGACUGUACGCCUUGGUCCCACAGGAUGCUGGGAGGUGGAGCUGGGAGUCCUCUGACGGUAGGAGGAUUGGCCUCUAAGGGACCCCUCCCCUUGGCCGCACCCUGAAAGGUCCCUGAUCACAGCAGCUCAGCUUGCCUGAGAGAAACGGAGGUGAGAGAAGACAUGAGGAAGACGAGGUGCAGUGCGGCAGUGCGAGGGCACUUUGAGCGACCUCCUCCUGCAGCAAGCUGCUCCAUCGGUGCCGCUCUCGAAACCCGAGAUGGUGACUUCGAGCAUAGAAGCGAGCGAUGGACCAAGGCUGGAUGCAGAAGAUGGCCCGACCUGGUAGGAGGCAAUGUUGCGAUGGUCACAGCUCUGCUGGAGAAUCCGGGCAGCAGGACGUCCUCCAAGACAGACCUCUCUGGGGUACGUUUGCUGCGAGGACUGCUGCAGAGCUGCUACACAAACCCACCUGCGGACCAAUGGAACAGGCGCUAUUACUUAGCGCUGCAGUUCAACCAGAACAUGUCGGAAAGUUCCGGAACCCACCUACAAUUCCACCAAAAGACUUUUCAAGCUCUUAGGAGGUUCAUCUUGUCCCACCAUAGGCCACAGCAGAUAAUCACUUCCAAAGCAGUGGCAUCAGGCCGCCUCGGUGAUGCUGAUCCGGGGCUCGAGAGGAACGGCAGCUGGGUGACCUCACUGCGCAUGAGAAGGCAGAUCGAUGGCUCAUCUGAACGCCUCCCGUCAGUAAGGAGCGCAUCGCCUCAUCUGUACGCCUCCCGUCACUAAGGAGCGCAUCGCCUCACAGGAGCCGUCCCAAGCAGCAGCCAUAUUGAAAUUUUAAUACAUUGUAUGUUCUUCCUGACAUGGGCAGUAGUCACAGAGCUUAAGGUGGGUGGCAAAAGCCCAGCCGCCCCAGUCUUUGUCAGUGUGGAGGCGAUAGCUGAGAUUUGAUAUUCAGCCAGGACCCCCACAUGCUCCCAGAGGGUGACUGAUGGCCCCUGAACACUUGGAGGGGGCUACUUCAUGCAAGGAGGCACAAGGCAAGCAGCAUACUGACUGUACUUGCACAUGUAGUUUACGUCUAUCUGGAGGAUUAAAGGACAUGACCACCAGGGGGCAAUGCGAGAAAACCAUCUUGAUCGACUUUUCGCACGAGGUUGUGACAUGAAAUGAUGCACGCUCACUCUCUCCACCGCGAUCGCGUUGCUAAUUUUUUUAUAUUGCUGCAGCAUUCUCUGUAUUCUAACCACUGCUCCACUGCCACAUAUUACUUUACCACCGCAUGUUGAAUGUCGCAUUACAUGUCGUUAGAUACCUCGUACUAGUUAGUAUUUCGUAAUUCGGCUGCAGGACACCAGAAAAUAAUUUCUGUAAGUAUUGCAGUAUUUAUAAAGAAAAAAGUUAAAAAUAAUCAAUUUCCCACAAACAUCAAUUUAUAAGUGAUUUAAACAGUAAGGAUGAAAAUGAUUAGGAAUGGCGUGCAGCGCAUCCAGAGCUCAUGCAAAAGUAGCGGCGGUGAAUUUUAAACUCAGCUUGCUAAGUUUUGUUUCCUAUGCCAAUAUAAAUGUUCUAGCAAAACAUAAAACCCAACAUUUAUAAAUAUUGGAAAUGCAUGCUUAUGAAAGUAGGCACGUCAGAAUUUCAAGUUACAGUUUCAUUGUACUUCAUACACGACACUGCUUCCUUAGAAACUCAAACUGCCAUUAAAUUUUGAAGACGUUGUACACGGAGGCACACAAUGGUGCUCAGAAUAUUUUCUCUCAUGCCUCUGAAAAUAUGCAGCGCUUCCGGCCGCUCAUUCUUAACAAAACAGAUGUUACUUUAAUACUAACUACCGAAUAUAAACACAUAGUCCCAUGACAAAAGGUGAGCGUACUGCCACCCCAAUUUUUUGGUGAUACUGCAUCUCACGUACGCAUCGUGUUAACUCCUCGCGUAGGUGCACGCGUGGCGGCCAUUAUGCGUACACGUAUGAGUGUCAAGUAUAAAUCAGCCCUAAGAGGUGCAAACAGCGAUGAUUAUUCACUCAGGGGGGGGGGCAUUGGCAGGAAGACCGCCUGAUUCAACGUCACACGUAUCUUUGGAGGGGGGCGUUUGGCAUCUCCUACUUUUCAUGGGCAUUAAUGACUUUAAAUGGCAAGGCUCUCUCCUUGGGUGCUUAUUUUUAAAAAUAAGCUGGGAGGGGGGUCCUUGGAGGAACUUACAAGGCCAUGAAGUUAUACGUUUGUGACUCUUAUCCUCUCAGCAGUGCAGGCCUUUCCCCGCCUCUCUACAGGAGCCGUUUGAGCUGACUGUAAAUGGCCCAAGCUGGGUUCAGCUGGCAGUGCAGGUGCCCCAGAAGGGGAUCUGCUGACUCUCAUCGCUCCCCCAGCUCGCUGUAUGAAAUUCCACAACCGAUGGCCACCAGUACUGCUGAGCCUCCCACCAGAAACCCAAUUCCGUCAGUGAUGUUAAAAGGACAAUCUGGAACAGACUGGUGCCACACUGCCUUUUGGGCAAUAAAGGGGUGCGGUUGGGUGAAUGUGCCCUGUACCCUGUAGCCCUCUGUUGGAAUGUUGUUCAUGUAAUAAAACAUACAUACACUAAAGCAA